GCCUCUGUAGCUCAGUGGUUAGGGCACUGUUCUUGUAAACUAGGGGUAGAGAUUUCGAGUCUCUCCAGAGGCU
rfam:Nematostella vectensis strain CH2 x CH6 NEMVEscaffold_32_Cont5601, whole genome shotgun sequence.